GGUCGUGCUCCGCCGGAGGGAGGAGCGACGCGAUAGCCGCGCCGCCGUGCUGUGGCUCGACGGCCCGAGCGCCUAAGGGCGCCUUGCCUCCUGUCGGGAGGCGCUUGAUAUCAUCGUCUUAACAUUAUGGCUGUCGUCAAGUCGCAUUGGCCGCUGCUUGUAUUUUUAUUACAGAGGAUGUCGUUGCCUGUAGCAGUCUCUGCGUGAAGACCAUUAAGUUCUUGGUAUGGAUUUAUUUUUCAAUCCGUCAAUCAUGGAUGCCAAUGCAAUGUUCUGCCUUU
rnacentral:lncRNA from 1 species